CUUGUCAUCCUUGGGAUCUUGAUCCAUCGGAACAACUUCUAACGCCUUCCUUUCCCUCCCAUCCCAGUCUGUAUGCCCGAAGAGGGAUUUAAAGGGACUGGUUUACUCGGCCACUGAUGGUUUUCCAAGAGGAGCGACCCGAAGGGAAGAGGAUUUGGAACGUGGUAGGGCAUUAAAAGCAUCCAAAAAAAAAGGUGGAUAUGGGACUCUGUGACUCUUCCAGAAGGCAGGAAAACCCCCGAGCGAGGCGUGUGCUCCCCAAAGCAAACCAAACCAAUGCCUUAUGUCAAAGCAGAUUGCACUGAGGGACAUUCCUGCUCCAGGAGAACGUCCCGGGUUGGUUUAAUAAAGAACAGGAAGGUUGGGAAGUUGAGCAGCAGUUGGUGUGUUCGGGGCGAGGGGGUGUCCCCGUGAUCCCAUAGAUCCCAACCAUCCUGCUCCAUCCUCCUCUUUAGGAUAACCCUGUCUUUGAUCCACUGUCAGGCCAGCUUGGAAGUGCAGGAAUUGGGACUGGGGGAGGAAUGUCUGGCAGACAAGGAAUCUUUAUUGAUUUGACCCCAAAUGGGAGCUGGGAUCUGCUUCCCAAACCUUCCCCAGGGCCGCAUCCCUCUCCGCAUCCCUCCGCCACUUCCACACCUUGGAUGAUCCGAGAACCACCUGGGCUCUGGGAACUGGGUUGGGGUUUUUUUUAGAAAUUUGGGGUAUUUUAGUGACUCUGGAGAACAUUUUCUUCCAGGAGUGCUUGGGACAGCCGGAGCCAGCGGGGGGGUGCAGGUGGGAGGCGUUUCCCAUGGGAAGAGGGGGAUUUUCCCCCUUUAUCCUCGUUUUUCAGCAAUGCACUAAUUAUUAUUAUGAUUAUUUUUAACAUCUCCCAGCAAGGAUUUCUCCCCGUUAAUAUUUAGCAGGAACUAUCCCACUUCCAGCCUGAUCCACACCAGGCACUGCCGAGGGAUCUCUGUCCUGAAAUUCCAGGUUUCCUCUUCCUUUCCAGCCUUUUCCCUUGUUUCCCUGGAAAAAUACGAUGUGGAGAUCACAUCAGUUUUAUUUUGUCAAGGUUUGCAGAAAUUUGGGAUGCAAGAAGAAGGGGGAGGGGCACAAAUCCCAUCCCCCAAAACUCCCCUAGAUUUGAUUUCCAAGGUUUGAUUUCCAAGGUUUUAUCCGAAGAAUUCCAGCUGUUCUUUGCCAAACCCCCUCCUCCCUGUCCCUGCUGCAUUUGGGGGUGAAGCAGCAGCAUUUGAGGGGCUCUAAAGCUCCUAAAAAGUGGGGGUUUUGGGGCAUUUGGACCCGUGGAUUCUUUCCCAAGGUACAGACAUGAGGAAUUCCAUGUGCCGAAGCCACAAGAGGUUUUUUCUUCCCAGCCUGAAGCACUCGCUUGUGUACAUAUUCCUUGGAAAUUCCAUCUUUUCAAGUUGCUGUUCAUUUUUUUUAAUGUUAUAUAUAUAUAUAUAUAUAUAUAAAAAAAAAAACAAAACACAAAAAUCUCUUCCUUGAGCUUAUCCUGUUGUUGUGGGAAGCGAUCCGGGGGGGCCCUGGGGGUGUUCCGGGGCCGCGGCGGUUCCGGCAGCGCCGGAUCCUCUGGAGGACACGAGUCCCAGGUGUGAUCCCAGGGCCCCGUUCCUGUUUUGUCUGUUAUUUGCAAUUAUUAUCGGAUUAAAGUUGUCAUUGGAGCCAUG